GUGAUUACUGGACUGUUAGCUGAACCUACCAUAGAUGCCACCUCUGACUGCUCCUGUUCAGGAUUAUCAUUCCCUGGCUUACUCCACAAACAUCAAAGCCAAGUGAGAAGAAGGUGUAUUGGACUACUGGACUGAAAGCCUUUGCACGGACCCUUUGUCCGGAAUGAAACUUCAUCCAAGAAGCAAGGCGUAUAGGAUUUUCUGGGGUUGCUGCUAUCGUCAAUUCAAUGUUCGGAUCUAGCUGUGACUCAGCUGCCAGGGACGGGAGAAAGGCGAUGAGUCAGGAGGCUUCCAAGUCAUCCUCCAGCAUAUUAGGCCUGAGCUCCAGUAACAGGACAAUCUGGUGCCAGAACAGA